rnacentral:rRNA from 1 species
CCAAUAGCGUAUAUUAAGGUUGCUGCGGUUAAAAAGCUCGUAGUUGAAUUUCGGGAUUGAUGCAUCGGUCGUGCCUUAAGGGGUAUGAACUGGUGUAGCCAAUUUCUUACCUUCUGGUGAAUUGUGAUGUCCUCCUUAAUUGGGUGUUUCAAUGAACUAGGACUUUUUACUUUGAAAAAAUUAGAGUGUUUAAAGCAGGCAUUAUUUGCUUGAAUACAUUAGCAUGGAAUAAUAAAAUAGGACAAUGAUUCUAUUUUGUUGGUUUCUAGGAUCACUGUAAUGAUUAAUAGGGAUAGUUGGGGGCAUUAGUAUUCAAUUGUCAGAGGUGAAAUUCUUGGAUUAAUUGAAGACUAACUACUGCGAAAGCAUUUGCCAAGGAUAUUUUCAUUAAUCAAGAACGAAAGUUAGGGGAUCGAAGACGAUUAGGUACGUCGUAGUCUUAACCAUAAACUAUGCCGACUAGGAAUCAGACAACGUUAAAUUUUAAUGACUUGUUCGGCGCCUUACGGG